rnacentral:rRNA from 1 species
GACGAACGCUGGCGGCGUGCCUAAUACAUGCAAGUAGAACGCUGAAGGAGGAGCUUGCUUCUCCGGAUGAGUUGCGAACGGGUGAGUAACGCGUAGGUAACCUGCCUGGUAGCGGGGGAUAACUAUUGGAAACGAUAGCUAAUACCGCAUAACAGUAGAUGUUGCAUGACAUUUGCUUAAAAGGUGCAAUUGCAUCACUACCAGAUGGACCUGCGUUGUACUAGCUAGUUGGUGGGGUAACGGCUCACCAAGGCGACGAUACAUAGCCGACCUGAGAGGGUGAUCGGCCACACUGGGACUGAGACACGGCCCAGACUCCUACGGGAGGCAGCAGUAGGGAAUCUUCGGCAAUGGACGGAAGUCUGACCGAGCAACGCCGCGUGAGUGAAGAAGGUUUUCGGAUCGUAAAGCUCUGUUGUAAGAGAAGAACGAGUGUGAGAGUGGAAAGUUCACACUGUGAUUGGAUCUACCAGAAAGGACGG